rnacentral:rRNA from 1 species
AUUGAACGCUGGCGGCAUGCCUUACACAUGCAAGUCGAACGGCAGCACGGGAGCAAUCCUGGUGGCGAGUGGCGAACGGGUGAGUAAUAUAUCGGAACGUGCCCAGUCGUGGGGGAUAACGCAGCGAAAGCUGUGCUAAUACCGCAUACGAUCUAAGGAUGAAAGCGGGGGACCGCAAGACCUCGCGCGAUUGGAGCGGCCGAUAUCAGAUUAGCUAGUUGGUGGGGUAAAGGCCCACCAAGGCGACGAUCUGUAGCUGGUCUGAGAGGACGACCAGCCACACCGGAACUGAGACACGGUCCAGACUCCUACGGGAGGCAGCAGUGGGGAAUUUUGGACAAUGGGCGCAAGCCUGAUCCAGCAAUGCCGCGUGCAGGAUGAAGGCCUUCGGGUUGUAAACUGCUUUUGUACGGAACGAAACGGCCCUUUCUAAUACAGGGGGCUAAUGACGGUACCGUAAGAAUAAGCACCGGCUAACUACGUGCCAGCCGCCGCGGUAA